AAGUGCAAUCAUACCAGCACUAAUGCUCCGGAUCCCAUCAGAACUCUGCAGUUAAGCGUGCUUUCAUGAGAGUAGUACUAGGACGGGUGACCUCCUGGGAAGUCCUUGUGUUGCACCUU
rfam:Cicer arietinum chromosome Ca3, whole genome shotgun sequence.